rnacentral:rRNA from 1 species
CAGGAUGAACGCUGGCGGCGUGCCUAACACAUGCAAGUCCAUCGAAGCGAUUUAGCGGAAGUUUUCGGAUGGAAGUUAAAUUGACUGAGCGGCGGACGGGUGAGUAACGCGUGGGUAACCUGCCUCAUACAGGGGGAUAACAGUUAGAAAUGACUGCUAAUACCGCAUAAGCGCACAGCAUCGCAUGAUGCAGUGUGAAAAACUCCGGUGGUAUGAGAUGGACCCGCGUCUGAUUAGCUAGUUGGUGAGGUAAAGGCCCACCAAGGCGACGAUCAGUAGCCGACCUGAGAGGGUGAUCGGCCACAUUGGGACUGAGACACGGCCCAAACUCCUACGGGAGGCAGCAGUGGGGAAUAUUGCACAAUGGGGGAAACCCUGAUGCAGCAACGCCGCGUGAGUGAAGAAGUAUUUCGGUAUGUAAAGCUCUAUCAGCAGGGAAGAAAAUGACGGUACCUGACUAAGAAGCCCCGGCUAACUACGUGCCAGCAGCCGCGGUAAUACGUAGGGGGCAAGCGUUAUCCGGAUUUACUGGGUGUAAAGGGAGCGUAGACGGCGAAGCAAGUCUGAAGUGAAAGCCCGGGGCUUAACCCCGGGACUGCUUUGGAAACUGUUUUGCUAGAGUGCUGGAGAGGUAAGUGGAAUUCCUAGUGUAGCGGUGAAAUGCGUAGAUAUUAGGAGGAACACCAGUGGCGAAGGCGGCUUACUGGACAGUAACUGACGUUGAGGCUCGAAAGCGUGGAGAGCAAACAGGAUUAGAUACCCUGGUAGUCCACGCGGUAAACGAUGAAUGCUAGGUGUUGGGGAGCAAAGCUCUUCGGUGCCGUCGCAAACGCAAUAAGCAUUCCACCUGGGGAGUACGUUCGCAAGAAUGAAACUCAAAGGAAUUGACGGGGACCCGCACAAGCGGUGGAGCAUGUGGUUUAAUUCGAAGCAACGCGAAGAACCUUACCAAGUCUUGACAUCCUUCUGACCGGCG